AUUGAACGCUGGCGGCAUGCCUUACACAUGCAAGUCGAACGGCAGCGCGGACUUCGGUCUGGCGGCGAGUGGCGAACGGGUGAGUAAUGUAUCGGAACGUACCUUUCAGUGGGGGAUAACGUAGCGAAAGUUACGCUAAUACCGCAUAUUCUGUGAGCAGGAAAGCAGGGGAUCGCAAGACCUUGCGCUGAUUGAGCGGCCGAUAUCAGAUUAGCUAGUUGGUGAGGUAAAGGCUCACCAAGGCGACGAUCUGUAGCGGGUCUGAGAGGAUGAUCCGCCACACUGGAACUGAGACACGGUCCAGACUCCUACGGGAGGCAGCAGUGGGGAAUUUUGGACAAUGGGGGCAACCCUGAUCCAGCCAUGCCGCGUGAGUGAAGAAGGCCUUCGGGUUGUAAAGCUCUUUCGGCCGGGAAGAAAUCGUACGGGUUAAUACCCUGUGCGGAUGACGGUACCGGCAUAAGAAGCACCGGCUAACUACGUGCCAGCCGCCGCCGUAA
rnacentral:rRNA from 1 species